rnacentral:ncRNA from 1 species
AGAAAAGCGAUGAUGAGAAAUAGUAGCAAUUAGGAUUUCUAACAGAAAACUGCCGGUUGAUGAGAGGCGUGAGGAUAGUUUUUGCGAAUACAUCUUUGAGCUGCACACUGAAUAAAAGAUAAUUUAUUGAUUUUCUUUUUAGUAGGCUGUGACGGAUAGGCACCCCGUAAUCGCGUGCAAGGGUAUCGUCAUAAUUAUGGAUCGUACCUGGUGAGAUAAAACAAUGUGAAUUGUUUUGUGAAUUAAGGUGGUAACACGGGAAUAUAACCCGUCCUUUUA